rnacentral:tRNA from 2 species
GCAGAGUUCGUAUAGUGGCUUAAUACUAUUGGUUUCCGCCCAGUAAACAUCGGUUCGAAUCCGAUACUCUGCU